UACGGGGGGGGCAAGCGUUGUUCGGAAUUACUGGGCGUAAAGGGUUCGUAGGUGGCCAACUAAGUCAUACGUGAAAUCCCUGAGCUUAACUGGGGAACUGCGUCUGAUACUGGUUGGCUUGAGUGCAGGAGAGGAACGCGGAAUUCCAGGUGUAGCGGUGGAAUGCGUAGAGAUCGGGAAGAACACCCGUGGCGAAGGCGGCCAGCUGGGCCGGUUCUGACGCUGAGGCGCGAAAGCGUGGGGAGCAAACAGG
rnacentral:rRNA from 1 species